CUUGUCGCCACCAGACGAGGCCAAGUGAGAGAAGCGCCAAAUGGUGCUUGUUCGUCUCGCGCUCCUACUGCUCUGUGAUUGGCUGGCAUAGAGCUCGGGUCAAAGUGGGAUUUAUCUGUUCUGCGACAACUUCAACACGGAGUAGACUACGCCAAGUGAUAGCACAGGAGAGUGGAUUAAGAUGAAUCGACCCUCGGGAACUUCCAGUCGUAUUCUGGUGGACAUACCUUGUAAGGUCUGUCAAGAUCACUCGUCAGGAAAACACUACGGAAUCUAUGCUUGUGAUGGCUGUGCCGGGUUCUUUAAG